GUAUAGNUAAGAUUUGAUAUCGACUAUGUCGAAUAAAGUUCAAGUAGAAAGUUGAUUAUGACAAUUUUCUAUCUUUGUGUUUUGACCAAAUUACGUGCCAGCAGUCGCGGUAAUACGUAGAAGACUAGUGUUAUUCAUCUUUAUUAGGUUUAAAGGGUACCUAGACGGCACUAUUAGCCCAAAACGGUUUUGCUAGAGUUUUAAAGGGAAGGUGAGAAUUUAUGGAGUAGAGAUGAAAUUUGUUGAUACCAUAAAGACUGAUAGCGGUGAAAACGACCUUCUAGCUAAUAACUGACGUUGAGGGACGAAGGCUCGGGUAGCGAACAGGAUUAGAUACCCUAAUAGUCCGAGCAGAAAAUUAUGAAUGCCAUAGACAUGUUGAUUUUAUGUCUAUAAAUGAAAGUGUAAGCAUUUCACCUUAAGAGUAAUGCGGCAACGCAGGAACUGAAAUCAUUAGACCGUUUCUGAAACCAGUAGUGAAGUAUGUUGUUCAAUUCGGUAACCCACGAAAAAUCUUACCACAGUUUGAAUAUUUUACAAGAGUUGCACGGCUGUCUUCAGUUAAUGUCGUGAGAUUUUGGUUAGCUCCAUAAAAUUAACGAAAGCCCUAGCUUUA
rnacentral:rRNA from 1 species